AGACAAAGUAGUUAAACUAAAACUAGAAAAGAGGAAAAAGUAGAUACAGUUCUUACAGUUAACUGAAACGAAACUGUUAUAAGUUCAGUUUUUAAAGACUGAACCAUAAAAUAGUAUACUGAACUUUUAGUAAAAGUGGAUCAGUUUUUUUUAGUAUAAUAUAGUAUAGUUAACUAUAGUACAAUACAGUUCAGUUAUUUUUGCCCAGCC
rnacentral:lncRNA from 1 species